rnacentral:lncRNA from 1 species
AUGGUGGGAUGGGAAGGGCUGGAAUGGACGGGACAGGACAAGACACGACGGGAUGGGCGAGGUGAGCAUACAGCUCCCCAGCUGAACACAGGGUUUGUGUUGAAUUGGGCUAUCCGAAUGCUUGAGACAAGUGAGUUCCAGCUUGGGAGCUCCAUCCUGGGAGCCCCACCUCCAGCCAUAGGAGCUGCAGCAGGAGAAGCAGACCUGAGCAGUCACACUGAUGUGCUGCCACCCCAGCACCACCACCCAAAUUCCACCACAUCCCCAGGAGGCAGCUCGCCAUCGUGCUGGCUGACCUCGAGCUGCCAAGCCCGUUCCUUUCCGCCUCUCUGCAAGUGCUCCUCUGCCAGCGGGCAUGGGUUACAACUGGUACCUGAUGGAAGCCUACUACACACCAGCACAUCGCGGUCAAAGGCACGCGCAAGCCAAGCGGCCAGCAGACAGGGUCGUGACCCUCACUGCUGCUGGGAUGUGCCUGGCCUCGUGUUAGCCCAACGUCAGCUCCACAGCCCAAGGGACCAAGCACACGUUGAUGACACAACACACGCUGAUGACCCAGAUAACCAAGAGCAGCCCUCAUGGGACAGGCAACGUGCAGACAGACGGGGAUGGAGAGGGGGAUAA